GGAAUUUAGCUCAGUGGUAGAGCGCUUGCCUAGCAAGCACAAAGCCCUGGGUUCGGUCCCCAGCUCCA
rnacentral:tRNA from 1 species